rnacentral:rRNA from 1 species
UAGGGAAUCUUCGGCAAUGGGGGCAACCCUGACCGAGCAACGCCGCGUGAGUGAAGAAGGUUUUCGGAUCGUAAAGCUCUGUUGUAAGAGAAGAACGUGUGUGAGAGUGGAAAGUUCACACAGUGACGGUAACUUACCAGAAAGGGACGGCUAGCUACGUGCCAGCAGCCGCGGUAAUACGUAGGUCCCGAGCGUUGUCCGGAUUUAUUGGGCGUAAAGCGAGCGCAGGCGGUUUAAUAAGUCUGAAGUUAAAGGCAGUGGCUUAACCAUUGUUCGCUUUGGAAACUGUUAAACUUGAGUGCAGAAGGGGAGAGUGGAAUUCCAUGUGUAGCGGUGAAAUGCGUAGAUAUAUGGAGGAACACCGGUGGCGAAAGCGGCUCUCUGGUCUGUAACUGACGCUGAGGCUCGAAAGCGUGGGGAGCAAACAGG